rnacentral:lncRNA from 1 species
AUUGAUUCCAUUGAAUACAAUGUACAAUCACCGUGAAAAUCAAGUGUACGAUCAAUCGCUAACCUUUGUGUUAAAGUACCCUGAAUCCUCUUACCCCCAAAUGAAACCGUGGCACGACCCUUGAUGUAUUAUAUAUUUUUAUCAAGAUACAAUGAAGGCUUGAUUCUUGAUUUCUUAUUUAUCUGAAAUGGUCUGUAGAUAAAACCCUGAUCAGUUUGAUUGUUUGAUGUAUAUUUGUUCUUUUACUUAUUUUUAUUUUCAUAUAGGUUUUUAUAUGAACAUUGAAGGCUGAGAUUCUAAAACUUUCUAUCCUUGAAUGCUAAUAUAAUUCAGCAUCGUAGGUAGACAUUUCAUUUUAUAAAUUUUAAUAUGUAGAACACAAUAUCUAUGCCACAAUAUAUAGUAUUCAAGUAGUAUGAAAUAUUCAUAAUUAUUUAGUAAUAAUAGUAAUAAUUAUAUGAAUUUCAUGAAUGAUUUUUAAUAAGUGUUGUAUGGUUGUGAAUUGUAAAUAUAAAGUAACUUUUCUAUCACAGUUUUUCUAUAUAGGACCAAAUGGAUUGAAGAUGUAGGGAAGAGUCACCUCGUUCAUUUUGAAAUUUUAGAACAAUCGGGAAACAAACAGUACCAGAUAAAAUCAUUGUACUUUCGCAUUUUAUACAGCAUAUUUAUAUAUUUUAUAUUAGGGUGUCAAGUUAUGGGCUUUCAGAGGGAUAAACUUGAGUUCAUUGUUUCAUAUCCAAAUUAAUUUUGAUGAAAGAUGAAAAUCCAGCAAGUUUUCAAGACCAUACUGGAUGAUUCUGAACAAAGCAAAGGUCACCAAACAAGAUUUUUUUUUUGGAAAGUAUAAAGGUUGAAGAUUAUUAAAUUGUUUUAGAAGGAAAACCCAUUCAGUGCAUUGCUAUGGUAACCAAAUAAACAGUUUGUGUAGAUUUAAGGUCCUAAGUUACUGCACUGUCAUAUCAAAGUUUUAUUUUAUAGAUAAUUUUAAAUUUGUAUCACUUUGGUGUACUAACAUGUUAAUUUUUUAAUUGUUUGUUAUCGUAAAUAAUUGUUAUAAUGAAUUUAUAUGUGGUAUUCAUUUGAUAAAACAAUAAUCAAUCUGUCUUCCAAUAUUCUAGCAAUGCUGCUUUAUAAUGGAAACGGGAAAAAAAAUCAAGAAAUUUCUUGUUUUAAGGUGGAAACUACCUUCAAUAGAAUGUCCCAGGCAAUGGCUGCGAAGGCCUUAAUUUAAGCUCUAAAUUUCAUUUCAUUCAAUUUUUGACAAGCUUAUACAGUAAUUCUAAUUAUUUCUUGAGGUAAUGGUCUCUCUUGUACAUGCUAUGAUCAUUGUGAAGGUAUUUGGUUUUUUUGAACAUGUGUAUGUACAUUAUACCUUGUUACUCAGUUAACCAUGUUUGUAGUUUGAUAUGAAGUUUUAUAUAUAUAUAUAUGCAAACCAGUUAGCUUCCUUUAUUUGCUGUUGUUUUAUACAUGGUAAUUUUUUUAAAAAGUUUAUUAAAAGCCAACAAUUUGAUAUGAUAGUUUUUAUUCUCUUUCUCUGCUGCAUAAGAAGAAUUUUUUUCAUUGAAAAAAAAUCCUCACAGUGCCAAAACUAAGAAAUUUUAUUUUUGACUUUAAACAAAUUCACAUCUUUAAAGUUAUCCUAUGUUAAGGGAAGGAAUCGAAUUCAUUUAAUUCUGAUUUUAUUAUGUUUUGCCUUCACUGCACAAAAGUAAAGUUUAGGUAUUGUGACUAAAGUAAAGCAAAUGACACAAUAUUCUAUAUAGUUAUUCAUGUACAACUUUCUUCAAAAUCUGGAAUAAUUUUCUCUCAAUGUAGUAGAUUAGUCUUCCUUAAAUGUAUGAAAUGGUAGCUAAAUUUACAUAUUUUUAAUACAUAAACUUUAUAAAGCUUAUAUACUACGCAUUUAAAGCUUUUAAUAUGAAUAUCUGCUGAAGCAAAUCAAUGAAAAAAGUAGAACAAAUGUGACCAUGGCAUUAGUAAAAGAAAUAAUAUUGCAGAUCAUAUCUAAUAAUGUCUUUUGUAUAAUGCCUUGUGUAUUACAUAACUGUUAUGCAUCUUGUAUUUUGCCACUUAUUAUGUACUCCACAGUGCUAUGAUUAAAUCAUUUAUCA